ACCCUAACUAUGCUUCUUGAGCACUCCCUUUCCAACAUCAAUCUCUCAUUACUAGUUGGGGCAAAGCUUUCUUCUAGCAUCUCAAAGUAUAGAGUGUAAUACCUAAGGCACUCUUCAAAGCACUUGACAAACUCAUAUCUUGAGCUAGUAAAAUGCUUUGAAGCACUGUCACAACCCGAGGGUUAAGUGAUUGAAACAUUCGGAUCAAAGAACUUCUUUCCUCUAUUUCAACUGUUCUCAAUGCUCCGAUGCAAUUGAUCGCU
rnacentral:misc_RNA from 1 species